rnacentral:rRNA from 1 species
AAUAGAUACCCGGGAAGUCCACGCCGUAAACGUUGGAUACUAGGUGUGGCGGUUAUACCAAUGACUGCCGUGCCGAAGCUAACGCAUUAAGUAUCCCGCCUGGGGAGUACGGCCGCAAGGCUAAAACUCAAAGGAAUUGACGGGUCCCCGCACAAGCGGCGGAGCAUGCGGCUUAAUUCGAUGCAACCCGAAGAACCUUACCUGGGUUUGACAUCACGGGAAAAGCUGUAGAAAUACAGUGUCCAUUAGGGCCCGUGACAGGUGGUGCAUGGCUGUCGUCAGCUCGUGUCGUGAGAUGUUGGGUUAAGUCCCGCAACGAGCGCAACCCUUGUCCUAUGUUGCCAGCGGUUCGGCCGGGGACUCAUAGGAGACUGCCGGGGAUAACUCGGAGGAAGGUGAGGACGACGUCAAGUCAUCAUGCCCCUUAUAUCCAGGGCUGCACGCAUGCUACAAUGGCCGGUACAACGGGCAGCGACCCCGCGAGGGUGAGCGAAUCCUAAAAAGCCGGUCCUAGUUCGGAUUGAAGUCUGCAACUCGACUUC